CGGGACGGGUGAGUAACGCGUGGGUAACCUGCCAUAUACAGGGGGAUAACACUUAGAAAUAGGUGCUAAUACCGCAUAAGCGCACAGGGGCGCAUGCCCCGGUGUGAAAAACUCCGGUGGUAUAUGAUGGACCCGCGUCUGAUUAGCCAGUUGGCAGGGUAACGGCCUACCAAAGCGACGAUCAGUAGCCGGCCUGAGAGGGCGACCGGCCACAUUGGGACUGAGACACGGCCCAGACUCCUACGGAAGGCAGCAG
rnacentral:rRNA from 1 species